AGUUGUUUCUACGUUUCUUCCAAUGUGUUAAAUGACAGUAAUGGAUGCAGAGCCUAAAGCGGUCAACUUUCUAAAGGUCAGCUUUCAGCUGCUGCUAGAGUCUUAUUGGACUUUGUCAUCUCCUGGGAGAAGAACCAGAGUCUGCACUUAUGCUGUGGAUGACUCCUGUGAGCCUGCAAGAAAAUUGGUCUUCCCUAGUAUGCAACUGAACACUUGGAAGAUCUGUAAUGUGACCGAAAGCACAGGAUCUUUUACGUAAUAUUAAUUCUCUACUUAAAAACCUCAGGUGAUGGCAAAUCAGACAUAUUCUGAAAAUUUGAUUCAGAAGGUAACCCUUCUUUUUAAAAGAUGUCAUUUUCAAAGUGUUUAACUUUUGUUUCCUUAUGGGAA